AAUCUAUCAAACCACACAUGUGAACCAAACUGUUGGCCAUCUUUGGGCUGUUUACGGACCAAAGAUUGGGUUGGUACGGGAGAAAUCCUGGAUCAAUUCAGGCGUUGGGCCCAACAAUAUAUUGUUGAGCCUGGCUCCGGCCUAAAUACUAACCCUACUAACUCCAAAAAAUAAAUCUAACAAAAUCUGGAUUCACGGCUUAGAGUCGCACAUCCAACAAUAAAGACAACUCUCAACAACGGAUAUCUUGGCUCUCAGAUCGAUGAAGAACGCAGCGAAAUGCGAUACGUAGUGUGAAUUGCAGAAAUACGUGAAUCAUCGAAUCUUUGAACGCAAAUUGCGCUCGAGGCUUCGGCCAAGAGCAUGUCUGCCUCAGCGUCGGGUGAAAACUCAUGCGUGAAAACCCUGUCAUAUACAGGAAGUUUCCAUAGCAUGGACCUGACUGUCUCAGCAUAUUUUAUAUGCUGGGUCAGUUGAAGUUUGCAGUUGCUGAUACAUGGACCCGCUAUACGGGCCUCUACUGGGUAGGCAAUGUUUUGCUACAUGCUUUAGUAGACGGCUUAGGAUCCUUGCGUGUUGGCACGAAACAUGAAUACUGGAUUUCCAGUAAAUAAAUCCUUUUUCGACCUGAGCUCAGGCAAGA
rnacentral:sRNA from 1 species